rnacentral:rRNA from 1 species
GAUGAACGCUGGCGGCGUGCCUAAUACAUGCAAGUCGAGCGAACAGACGAGGAGCUUGCUCCUCUGACGUUAGCGGCGGACGGGUGAGUAACACGUGGAUAACCUACCUAUAAGACUGGGAUAACUUCGGGAAACCGGAGCUAAUCCCGGAUAAUAUAUUGAACCGCAUGGUUCAAUAGUGAAAGACGGUUUUGCUGUCACUUAUAGAUGUAUCCGCGCCGCAUUAGCUAGUUGGUAAGGUAACGGCUUACCAAGGCGACGAUGCGUAGCCGACCUGAGAGGGUGAUCGGCCACACUGGAACUGAGACACGGUCCAGACUCCUACGGGAGGCAGCAGUAGGGAAUCUUCCGCAAUGGGCGAAAGCCUGACGGAGCAACGCCGCGUGAGUGAUGAAGGUCUUCGGAUCGUAAAACUCUGUUAUUAGGGAAGAACAAAUGUGUAAGUAACUAUGCACGUCUUGACGGUACCUAAUCAGAAAGCCACGGCUAACUACGUG